CAUAUAACAAAUGCGCCAGUCGUUGCCAAGUUUUGCAUCCGGGCAGAUUCGCGAUGUUACUGUGUAUACCGUUAUUAAUUGUAGUGUUACUUAUUUGGUUGCAUUUGCACUUUAGAUAUUGUCAUGCAGGCCGACUAAUCGCCAAAAUUCCUGGACCAAGAGGGUGGCCUCUGAUAGGAAACAUCUUGCAGGUUUUAUUACCGCCAGAUGAACUAUUUUUAUAUGCAAGAAAACUGCGAGCAGAGAGUAAAGGACCAAUAUUAAAACUAACUUCUUUCAAUAUUCGCGUAAUUAACAUUUACGACCCAGUGGAUAUCGAGACAAUACUGUCUACAACCCGUUUUAACGAAAAACGCCUUCCGUACACUUUCUUAGCACCCUGGCUCGGCCAAGGAUUACUAGUGAGCAACGGCAAGUAUUA